rnacentral:rRNA from 1 species
AACGAACGCUGGCGGCAGGCCUAACACAUGCAAGUCGAACGAGAAGCCACCUUCGGGUGGUGGACAGUGGCAGACGGGUGAGUAUCGCGUGGGAACGUGCCUUUCGGUUCGGGAUAACCCAGGGAAACUUGGGCUAAUACCGGAUACGCCCUCCGGGGGAAAGAUUCAUCGCCGAAAGAUCGGCCCGCGUCGGAUUAGCUAGUUGGUAGGGUAAUGGCCUACCAAGGCGACGAUCCGUUGCUGGUCUGAGAGGAUGACCAGCCACACUGGGACUGAGACACGGCCCAGACUCCUACGGGAGGCAGCAGUGGGGAAUAUUGGACAAUGGGCGAAAGCCUGAUCCAGCCAUGCCGCGUGGGUGAAGAAGGCCUUAGGGUUGUAAACCCCUUUCAGCGGGGAAGAUAAUGACGGUACCCGCAGAAGAAGUCCCGGCUAACUCCGUGCCAGCCGCCGCCGUAA